AUCCCAUGAUAUGGAUACUUUCUCAUUAGCUCCUUGAACCUGUUCCAUGCCUCAUGACAGCUCUCUCCAUCUUUCUGUUGAAAGGUUUGAAUUUUCAAUCUGAUUUU
rnacentral:snoRNA from 1 species